rnacentral:rRNA from 1 species
UACGAAGGGUGCAAGCGUUAAUCGGAAUUACUGGGCGUAAAGGGUGCGUAGGCGGUUCGGUAAGUUUCGUGUGAAAUCUUCGGGCUCAACUCGAAGUCUACACGAGAUACUGCCGGGCUUGAGUGUGGGAGAGGUGAGUGGAAUUUCCGGUGUAGCGGUGAAAUGCGUAGAUAUCGGAAGGAACACCUGUGGCGAAAGCGGCUCACUGGACCACAACUGACGCUGAGGCACGAAAGCUAGGGGAGCAAACAGG